UACGAAGGGGGCUAGCGUUGUUCGGAAUUACUGGGCGUAAAGCGCGCGCAGGCGGUCCUUCAAGUCAGAGGUGAAAGCCCAGGGCUCAACCCUGGAACUGCCUUUGAAACUGGAGGACUUGAGUACGGGAGAGGUGAGUGGAAUUCCGAGUGUAGAGGUGAAAUUCGUAGAUAUUCGGAAGAACACCAGUGGCGAAGGCGACCCACUGGCCCAUUACUGACGCUCAGGCGCGACAGCGUGGGGAGCAAACAGG
rnacentral:rRNA from 1 species